GUGAAAACCCUUUUGAAAGAGUUCAUGCAGCAAGCUUUAGAUGGUGGGAACCAAAAGGGGAAUGAGAAGCGUGAGGAUUUUUUCUCUGAUCCUCUGAAAUUAGGAGUUAUUAUCCUGGUUGUCCACAUCAAUUACAGUUUAGAUGUCAGUGGACAUAUUUCUAAACUGUGUGAGUUACUCUGCCUGCCUAAAAAGCCAAGAGAAGUUUUCCUUGCAUACUGGACAGAUUUCAAACAAGGGCUACCAGGUGACAUCAGGUGAGAAAUCAUUUUCUUUCCGCAGCCACCGAAAGUAAAGACCUUCCUAAUGUGUCUAAUCUAAUGAACAAAAUGUCAAUAGCUUGAACUGAAGAUGGAUGUUGUCUACUUCCUCAUUCAGGGUUUCGGAGGCAAUUGAGACUCUAUUCAACUUUGCAAGAAAACAUGGAGUUGAAAAGUGGAUCUUGGUUAUCCCCCUCCUGCAUCUGCUUAGAGGGGACAGCAAGCCUUUUGAGGCUGCUCCUCUGACCAUGAAUCCAAAAUGUGACAUCUGGGCGGGGUUGAAAGGGAUCAAAACACCAGAAGGCUACACAGACUCGAUGUUUGAAACACAGGGAUUGAGGGAUUCCAUCCAAAUCAUGGAAAAACACAAGCACCUUGUGGCGAUGGACUGUCUCGUUACUCGCUCUUGGAUGUGUCUGUUGGGGCUGGAUAACUUGUUCAACUUUGCAUCAAUCAUCCCUCUUGAUGUCUUGGACACACUUCAACACCUCCAGUUUAGUCUGACUUCCAGGGAGAACUAUAAAUAUGAGGUACAUAUCUCCCUCCCUUUUGAAAAGUGAAAAAGUGUUUUGUAUUUCUUUGUUGUAUGUUAGUUUUAUGUCAUACUCAACAGUAGGAGUUCAUGUGACUGCACUAAAAAGCUAUGCUAUAAAUGGACAUUUGAUUUAUUAGAUCCUACAUCUUACAACAUGCUAUUAUGAACUUACUGUGUGUGUGUGUGUGUGUGUGUGUGUGUGUGUGUGUGUGUGUGUGUGUGUGUGUGUGUGUGUGUGUGUGUGUGUAUAUAUACAGUCGUAGUCGGAAAUUUACAUACACUUAGUUUGGAGUCAUUAAAACUCGCUUUUCAACCACUCCACAAAUGUCAUGUUAACAAACUAUAGUUUUGGCAAGUCGUUUAGGACAUCUACUUUGUGCAUGACACAAGUCAUUUUUCCAACAAUUGUUUACAGACAGAUUAUUUCACUUAUAAUUCAAUGUAUCACAAUUUCAGUGGGUCAGAAGUUUACAUACACUAAGUUGACUAUGCCUUUAAACAGCUUGGAAAAUUCCGGAAAAUUAUGUCAUGGCUUUAGAAGCUUUUGACAGACUAAUUUACAUAGUUUGAGUUAAUUGGAGGUGUAUAUGUGGAUGUAUUUCAAGGCCUACCUUCAAACGCAGUGCCAAUUUGCUUGACAUCAUGGGAAAAUGAAAAGAAAUCAGCCAAGACUUCAGAAAAAAAAUUGUAGACUUCCACAAGUCUGGUUCAUCCUUGGGAGCAAUUUGCAAAUGCCUGAAGGUACCAGGUUCAUCUGUGCAAACAAUAAUAUGCAAGUAUAAACACCAUGGGACCACGCAGCCGUCAUACCGCUCAGGAAGGAGACGUGUUCUGUCUCCUAGAGAUGAACGUACUUUGGUGCGAAAAGUGCAGAUCAAUCCCAGAACAACAGCAAAGAACCUUGUGAAGAUGCUGGAGGAAACAGAUACAAAAGUAUCUAUAUCUGUCAGAGUCUAUCUAAAGAUAGCGAAGGAGUCAGGGGCAGGACACAGAUAAGAGUAACAAUCACUGAUUUACUCAAUCCAAAACGUAACAAAAUCCCGUUCAAAAUACAACACACUGGAAUACACGAAAGACAAUCACAUACAAACAGAAAGGGAAACCAGAGGGUUAAAUAAGGAACAUAAUUAUGAGAUGGGAACCAGGUGUGUAAACAGACAAAACAAAAGGAAAAAUGAAACAUGGAUCGGUGGCGGCUAGAAAGCCGGUGACGUCGACCGCCGAACGCCGCCUGAACAAGGAGAGGGAACAACUUUGGUGAAAGUCGUGACAAUAUCCACAGUAAAACGAGAGAAAUGUCCUCUGGUCUGAUGAAACAAAAAUAGAACUGUUUGGCCAUAAUGACCAUUGUUAUGUUUGGAGGAAAAAGGGGGAGGCUUGCAAGCCGAAGAACACCAUCCCGAUCGUGAAACAUGGGGGGUGGCAGCAUCAUGUUGUGGGGGUGCUUUGCUACAGGAGUGACUGGUGCACUUCACAAAAAUAGAUGGCAUCAUGAGGUAGGACAAUUAUGUGGAUGUAUUGAAGCAACAUCUCAAGACAUUAGUCAGGAAGUUAAAGCUUGGUAGCAAAUGGGUCUUUCAAAUGGACAAUGACCCCAAGCAUCCUUCCAAAGUUGUGGCAAAAUGUCUUAAGGACAACAAAGUCAAGGUAUUGGAGUGUCCGUGACAAAGCCCUGACCUCAAUCCUAUAGACAAUUUGUGGGCAGAACUGAAAAAGUAUGUGCGAGCAAGGAGGCCAACAAACCUGACUGUGUUACACCAGCUCUGUCAGGAGGAAUGGGCCAAAAUUCACCCAACUUAUUUUGGGAAGCUUGUGGAAGGCUACCCGAAACGUUUGACCCAAAUUAAACAAUUUGAAGGCAAUGCUACCAAAUACUAAUUGAGUGUAUGUAAACUUCUGACCCACUGGGAAUGUGAUGAAAGAAAUAAAAGCUGAAAUAAAUCAUUCUCUCUACUAUUAUUCUGAAAUUUCACAUUCUUAAAUUAAAGUGGUGAUCCUAACUGACCUAAGACAGGGAAUUUUUACUCUGAUUAAAUGUCAGGAAUUGUGAAAAAUAGAGUUUAAAUGUAUUUGGCUAAGGCGUAUGUAAACUUUUGACUUCAACUGUACAUACAUAAAUACAUACUAAUAUACAGUACCAGUCGAAAGUUUGGACACGCCUACUCAUUCCAGGGUUUUUCUUUAUUUUUAUUAUUUUCUACAUCGUAGAAUAAUAGUGAAGACAUCAAAACUAUGAAAUAACACAUAUGGAAACAUGCACUAACCCCAAAAAAUGUUAAACGUAUCAAAAUCUAUUUUAUAUUUAAGAUUCUUCAAAGUAGCCACCCUUUGCCCUGAUGACAGCUUUGAACACUAUUGGCAUUCUCAACCAGCUUCAUGAGGUAGUCACCUGGAAAUAAUUUUAAUUAACAGGUGUGCCUUGCUAAAAGUUGAUUUGUGCAUUUUCUUUCCUUUGUAAUGCGUUUGAGCCAAUCAUUUGUGUUGUAACAAGGUUUUGUGGUAAAAGACCAAGUCCAUUUUAUGGAAAUAACAACUCAAAUAGCAAAGAGAAACAACA
rnacentral:lncRNA from 13 species